AGUGAACGCUGGCGGUAGGCCUAACACAUGCAAGUCGAACGGCAGCACAGUAAGAGCUUGCUCUUACGGGUGGCGAGUGGCGGACGGGUGAGGAAUACAUCGGAAUCUACUUUUUCGUGGGGGAUAACGUAGGGAAACUUACGCUAAUACCGCAUACGACCUACGGGUGAAAGCAGGGGAUCUUCGGACCUUGCGCGAUUGAAUGAGCCGAUGUCGGAUUAGCUAGUUGGCGGGGUAAAGGCCCACCAAGGCGACGAUCCGUAGCUGGUCUGAGAGGAUGAUCAGCCACACUGGAACUGAGACACGGUCCAGACUCCUACGUGAGGCAGCAGUGGGGAAUAUUGGACAAUGGGCGCAAGCCUGAUCCAGCCAUACCGCGUGGGUGAAGAAGGCCUUCGGGUUGUAAAACCCUUUUGUUGGGAAAGAAAAGCAGCAGGUUAAUACCCCGCUGUUCUGACGGUACCCAAAGAAUAAGCACCGGCUAACUUCGUG
rnacentral:rRNA from 1 species